CUACAUAUUGCACCCCAGGAAUCUCUGACAAUAUGGUGAUGAAAAAAUCCCCAAUGCUUAUGCUAGAUUUGUGACGUUUAGUCCAGGUUCGCUUAGUUUCUUCGACAACUUAUUUGUGUUAAAAUAACUGCCACAUUU